GAGGGAAGUUUUCUCAUGUGGAGAACGUGACAGCAAACGCACAUGUCAAGGACGAGCUCCUCAACAGAACGGCAGGAAAUUGCAUGGACCUCACAGAAGAAGAAGAUAAACAAAUGGCUCGUAGGAAGAAGUGUCUGACAAUAAUAUGACGGGCGUCAUGACAGGCAUGAACAGAUACCUAGUUUGUUCCCACACUCAUGGAGAAAACUGUGCCUAGUCCACUACAACUCCCAUGACCACCACAUACCCGGAAGACAAUGACAUCACAGACACAGACUGAAUUUCUUUUUUGUCUUUAUCGAGUCUUUAUUUGGGGCUGUUUCUUUGACCAAUAUCCCUCCUGAGAUCUAUACAACCUUGGUGACCAACUACAAGAAACAUCUGAGCUGUGUGCUUGCCAAGCACUAAGCUAAGUUUUACUUGCGGAUCAAACACUUAUUUCCAUCCAUCCAUCCAUCUACGCCACCUGUCUUCACUAGGGUUGCGGGUAUGCUGGAGCCUAUCCCAGCUGACUUCGGGCAAGAGGCGGGGUACACCCUGGACUGGUCACAAAAAGACAAACAUUUAACCUGCAUGUUUCUGAAAUGUGGGAGGAAGCCGGAGAACAUGCAAACUCCACAGAGAUGCCCAAUGGAGAUUCGAUUCCAGAUCUUCCCGAUCUACUGAAUGUGGCCAACAUGCUAACCACUAGGCCACAGUGCGGCCCAGAUACAAAUUCAUUGAUAACCUUAAUUUGAUGUUUGAUGGGGGUUUUUCUUACAUUCUGUGUAUGUUGUAACUAACCUACCAUAAAAAUUCUGGACUUUUCAUAUCUUACAAAAUCAGCAGGGAUCAAAUACCAAUUUCUCCCACUUGAUAUGACAGGAGUGCUUGGCUGAGGACAUCAAACCCAAACAAUCAUAAAGAUGCUGCUGUUAACACCAGCUCACCUUUAUUUAAGAAGGCAUUCUAUUAAAAGUCAUCAAAAGGUUCUUAAGUACAUUUAGCUUAAUUUAAUAUCAGAUGACUAAGUGUAGGUAUCACCUCCACCAAAAUAAC